rnacentral:rRNA from 1 species
UACGGAGGGAGCAAGCGUUGUUCGGAAUUACUGGGCGUAAAGCGCACGUAGGCGGCUUUGUAAGUUAGAGGUGAAAGCCUGGAGCUCAACUCCAGAAUUGCCUUUAAGACUGCAUCGCUUGAAUCCAGGAGAGGUGAGCGGAAUUCCGAGUGUAGAGGUGAAAUUCGUAGAUAUUCGGAAGAACACCAGUGGCGAAGGCGGCUCACUUGACUGGUAUUGACGCUGAGGUGCGAAAGCGUGGGGAGCAAACAGG